AAAUUCAAGCAUUUAUAUUUAAUAAAAAUAAUUAUUAUAUAAAUUUACCAAAAAAUAAAACAAAAACUGAAAAGGAAAAAACUAUUUUACAAUAGAAAUUUUAUGUUCCUUUUGUAUCAGGAUUUAUUUAAUCAAUUAAACAUUCAAUUAUCCCGAAAAAUUAUGAUCUAAUAUAUUUAUAAAUUAUUGUAAUAAUAAUAUAAAAAAAACAUAUUAGUAAUUAAACGUUAAACGAAUAAUAAAUAUCUGGUUUUAUAAAAAUAAUCAAACUUAAAUAAAUUAUUAUAUAAUAAAUUAUAAUAAUAAAUUAAAUAAAUAAAAAAAAAUUAAAGGAAUAAUAGUACCAAAAAGUUUCACAACUAUUAUAAAUUAUUCAACAAUUUCAAAUAUUAUAAAAACAUUUAUAAUACAACACAAUAAUAAUAAAAUUAGUAAAUUAACAAAAUUUAAUUCUCAAACUCGGCCAAAAUAAAAUGACUGUUUAACAAAAACAUCUCUAAUAGAAAUAAUUAUUAGUAAAAUCUGCUCAAUGAAAUUUAAAUAGCCGCAACUUUGUUGUGCUAAGGUAGCAUAAUCAUUUGUUUUUUAAUUAAAAACUAGAAUGAAAGAUUUAACAUUUUUAUCUCUAUCAUUAAUAAAUUUAUUUAAAUUUAUCUUAAAUAUAAAAAGAUAUUUAUAAAAUAAAAAGACGACAAGACCCUAUUGAACUUAACUAAAGUUAAACUGGGGCAGUUAAUUAAUUAAUAUUUUAAUUCUUUUUAAUAAAAAAAAAUAACUAAUAAAAUUAAUAUAAUCAAGUUACCAUAGGGAUAACAGCGUAAUUAUUUUCUUAAGCUCUUAUUUAAAAAAUAGUUUGCGACCUCGAUGUUGAAUUAAUUACCUGAUAAAUGCAACAAUUUAAUAAAGGAAGUCUGUUCGACUUUUAAUUAACUACAUGAUUUGAGUUCAGACCGGCGCAAGCCAGGUCGGAUUCUAUCUUUUAUUUAUUUUUUUCCUAGUACGAAAGGACCUGAAAAAAUAUUAAAAAU
rnacentral:rRNA from 1 species